UGGUCAUACAAGGAAGAGGCCAAACUUCCCAUGAAAGGUGUGUCCUAUUGGAUCUGUAAUUUCCAGAAUGAGUACUUCCUCAAAAUUAUAAUUUAUCAUUGUGUGGAUUGAAUUAUACUGUGUGGUUUACUCUAAAGUAUUCAGCAACAAUGUUUCUAUUGAUUAUUAUAGUCACAAACUUGGGACUUUGAUAGCUGAUGAUGGUAAGCA